rnacentral:sRNA from 1 species
GCACCAGGAGGAUGGGGCGACACGUCGGC